CUCACGUUAGCUACUUGGAAGGUUCCACUGAAGAGACAGAGUGGAGGUGGGGCUGCAGAGGAGACAAAAGGAGGAAGAAAAUGAAGGCUGCUGCAGGGCAGGGACUGGCUCCUAAUCAUCUUUAAAUCCCACGAAAUCAGUGCAGAGCCUGGCUUAUUGCAGGGAUUUAACAUAUGUUAGUUCCAUGCGCAAAUAAAUGAAGAGUGGUGAGGGAAGAGGUUCGGAGACUAAACUGAUAUAUUUUUAAAAGCAUAUAAACCCACACCUUAGAGCUGCUGUGAGUGUCCUCGCUGGAGUUGCCAGGUGGCUACGGCCACAGAGCACGGUGGCCUCCUCUGCGCUCCAGUCCUGAGCGAUGGCACUGAGAUUUCCGGUGUGGAACACACUUUUGGCAACAGGCCAACUAAACAAUUCAAUCCACCAGCAAAACGACGUCAGUGGGAAACACUGUGUGCCAAUCCCUUUUUGCCUGUAAUGGUGAAAACACACAAGGCACAGUUACGUGAAGCAAAAGGUGGUCAAAUACUUGUGAUAUUCUUCAAUUUCUUGUCAUACCAGAGAAAUGGAAAGAGAAGCAGAAAGAGAAAAUCUACCAAAAAAGGAAAAAUAAGAGCCAGCUAUGCAAGCUAAACCUCUGGCGUCCGCCCUAGGGACCCGCCCACGCUGGGUCUGCAGAGGGAAGGGCCCGCCUGGCCAGCGUCAAUUGCAGUGCGUUAUGAGCUACUCACAUGUCCUGUACUAUUAGGUGUUAGAAGAAGAAGACAGAAUAGAACAGAGUUCUUGCUCUCAGGGCCUGAAAGUCUAACGGGAACGGCAGAAAAAGGAGCCAACGACUGUGCCCUGUGGUGCGGCGUAUCCUGCAAUGGCAUUCCAGUCCGUCCUGUGAGAUGUGGCCCUGCAAGAUUUCACAAAGAGGUGAUGCCCAACGGAACCUUGAAAGAUGAGCAGCAUUAAGACGAUAAAGAGGUGGAUGUGGCACAGAGCAUGGCAGACAGGGAACGGCCUGAGUGCGAAUGGGACCUUAGAAGAGUGUGACAUGUCCAGAAUUCUAGUAAUGCGCAUCUCAGUAUCUUUGAGCGACAAGAAUGAACAAGAGUGGAAAUGAAUGACGCUAAGCAGAGAGGUGGGACCAGUACCUAGAAUAAUGUCACACGAUAGGUGCUCGAUAAUGCUGAGCUACACUGUCGCAAUGGAGGUUCAGAGAGGCUUGCUGUACCUUGCUAAGAAAACCCAGCGAACGGCAGAGCAAGAUGGCGACGGUGUCUUCUGAUCCCAAACAAACAGCUCCUUCUAAUACGGCAGCUGAUUGUAUUGAGCUGUUACCGACUUUUGACAUCUUAGUAAAAGAUUAGUUCUCAGACGGUGACACCAAUUAUGAGGACCACUAGUGCGUCGUUUUGAUGGGUUUGUGCUGCAUAGGGUACAGGUGCUGCUAGGCUUGUUCCGGGCGUCCAAGAGUGGGUAUGGGGUUCUCUGUCUUGAGGAUUUUGUUUAAAUAAAACAGGAAAGAGGUGAUUCAGGAGUUAACAUUUCCAACCUCCUCUUAAAAGUAAUUUUGCUUCUGCAAACUGGAUGGCUCAAAAGACAAUUUAAAUUUCAUCCCUGGAUAGAAGCCAGGCUAGGUAAACUGAGGUGGAGAGAUUUUCUACGUUACAUUUUUCUUAGACUUCAUUGAGGAAAAAAAAGGUAUUUUUAAAAGAUCAAAGGAAGUGAGAGACAUUUCUGAAGCAAUAAUUACUUCCAGUAUACAACUCACCAUGAAAAGUUGAAAACAGGAAAAUAAGCAAAACUGCUCAGUGUAAGAGCCAGGAAUUGUGUGAGUCAGUAUCAUCUAAUUAAUUUUAUUUCCUGAUGUGACUAAUAAACCAAAUCAAGCACUGCAUGUCGAACUGUAUGCGUGUUACCGCCCGGCAGUUGUCCCUGCGGCCGGGGAGGAGGGAAGAGAAGUCUCAUUACUUUGCGGGCACGGGAGGAGGCUGAGCCUCCAGUCGGGCCAUCGUCCUACUAAUAAGCAGAGACACAGAGCUUGCAAAGGCUGCAGGCUCUCGGCUUCAGGCAGCUGCUGUUCAACUACUGCUGAGGAUUCUGAUGUCCCAUCUGCGCUGAAGACAACCCUGUGACCUCCACCAAGGACCUCCCUUUACCAGGUCUGGGCCGGGUCAUCUGCUGUUGCUCAACAGUCGCCAAGCACGUGGCCGCGCAGCUGACCCGCAUGGGGAGGCUCGCAAGGAAAAGGCCAAGAACCGACACAGAAGAGCAAGAAAGGCACAUGCUGUCUGAGGCUCUGUCUGGCACGGGAGUUGCUGCCUUGAGGCCACUAAGCCAUGGUGCUGGAAAUGCCCGCAUUCUCCAUUCUGCAGGGUUAAGACACGAAUGAGCUCUCGACCAGAGAGCCUUUUCUUUGACCAGGUCAUUCCAGUUUCUGAAGUUCAUAUUUAAAAAUAAUCUAAGGGAAAUAAAAGGCUAGAAGCACAGCAGUGUUCACUGUAGUAGUGUCUGUAAUAACAAGGAGAGGAAAGUAAUAAAAAUAGCCAACAGGAGGACAAUUGUGAAA